CUCCUCCCACGUCCCACCUUGCUGCUGAGAAAUGAACCUGCCCUGGGGAUAACUGCCCAAUGUCCUCCCUUCCAGUUCAUGAGCGACCCAGUUCUGUACCAGGAGAAGCUGCUGAAGCCGGCAGUGUUGCUGCUGGAGAAGGGUGCCGACCAGGAGGAAGACGAGGCCCUGCGGGUGCUGUCCCUGCGUGCCCUCGGCAACAUGGCCCUGGGCGCCCCCAAGAAGGUGAAGCAGUACCGGAAGGUCUUGCUGGAGAAGUGCCUGGGCCCCCUGAGGGAGCCCGUGAGCACCAGCGUGACUGCCGAGGGCAUGGAGGCCCUGACCAAGAUCCUGGCUGAGCUCCGAGAAGGGGAUGUGGGGUCCUCUUUCGACGCCAUGUCUGAGCAGUGCAGGAUCUUCUUCGACAACGAGAGCGAGCUGCUGCGUCUGAAAGCCUUCAUCCUCUUUGGAAAGCUGGCAAGGGUGGUCGGGAUGUCCAAGAAGCAUUUCUUCAAAGGAGAGGUGAAGAAGGCCUGGAUCCCCCUCAUGCUGCACUCCCAGGACCCCUGCUCCAAUGCAGCCCAAGCCUGUAUGGCUACCAUGUUUCAGUGUGUGCACUUCUGGGGCUGGAAGUCCCUGGAGCAUCCCUCAGGGCCAAGUGAUACCACUACUGAUGACAAGAUGACCGUUUUCCAGACAACCAUGUGCUCCAUCCUGACUCAGAAAAAGCCGGCUGUUCUCUACAGCUUCUUGCUAGAAACAAUGGCCUACAUUAAAAACAACUUGUCAAGAAUCAGAAUCGCUGCUUGCAACUUGGCAGGAAUUAUUAUGAAGCAGAUGUCUACACAUUAUCUGAAAAAGCUAGACUUCCCAGCAUUACGGAAUUCCCUCCAGGAACUACAGCUGGACCCAGAUCCCGGGGUCAGGCGGGCAGCCCUGGAGACGCUCACAGUCUUGGAUAGCUGUAGUCAGCACAGGCUUCUGGCUUCACCCCAAGGAAUGUCCUAGGUGGUCCAAACAUAAGACGUAAACUGUCUUCUUAGUGCCAAAUGCAAGCCCUUUUUAAUUUAGUUUGUAAGAAGUUUAGUUUGUAGGAAAAACACUAUUGUAAAAUAACUAGUAUCCUUUUCUUCCCUUCCGUUGAAAUAAACCUCCAUUGUCAUUGGA
rnacentral:sRNA from 1 species